UACGUAGGGUGCAAGCGUUAAUCGGAAUUACUGGGCGUAAAGCGUGCGCAGGCGGCUAUGCAAGACAGAUGUGAAAUCCCCGGGCUCAACCUGGGAACUGCAUUUGUGACUGCAUAGCUAGAGUACGGUAGAGGGGGAUGGAAUUCCGCGUGUAGCAGUGAAAUGCGUAGAUAUGCGGAGGGAACACCGAUGGCGAAGGCAAUCCCCCUGGACCUGUACUGACGCU
rnacentral:rRNA from 1 species